GAGUUUGAUCCUGGCCUCAGAAUCAACGCUGGCGGCGCGCGUUAACACAUGCAAGUCGAACGAGAAAGUGGAGCAAUCCAUGAGUAAAGUGGCGUACGGGUGAGUAACACGUGGAUCAUCUACCUCUUAGUGGGGAAUAACUUUGGGAAACCGAAGCUAAUACCGCAUAAGCCUGGAAAGGGAAAGCAGCAAUGCGCUGAGAGAGGAGUCCGCGGCCGAUUAGCUAGUUGGCAGGGUAAAAGCCUACCAAGGCAUUGAUCGGUAGCCGGCCUGAGAGGGCACACGGCCACACUGGCACUGAAACACGGGCCAGACUCCUACGGGAGGCAGCAGUGGGGAAUCUUGCACAAUGGGGGCAACCCUGAUGCAGCGACGCCGCGUGAGCGAUGAAGCCCUUCGGGGUGUAAAGCUCUUUCGGCAGGAACGAUAAUGACGGUACCUGAAGAAGAAGCUGCGGCUAACUACGUGCCAGCAGCCGCGGUAAUACGUAGGCAGCGAGCGUUGUUCGGAGUUACUGGGCGUAAAGAGUGUGUAGGUGGUUCUCUAAGUUUGGUGUGAAAUCUCCCGGCUCAACUGGGAGGGUGCGCCGAAAACUGGAGGGCUUGAGUAUGGGAGAGGAAAGCGGAAUUCCUGGUGUAGCGGUGAAAUGCGUAGAUAUCAGGAGGAACACCUGCGGUGUAGACGGCUUUCUGGACCAUUACUGACACUGAGACACGAAAGCGUGGGGAGCAAACAGGAUUAGAUACCCUGGUAGUCCACGCCCUAAACGAUGCAUACUUGGUGUGAGCGAUUCAUUUCGUUCGUGCCGGANCUAACGCGUUAAGUAUGCCGCCUGGGGAGUACGGUCGCAAGGCUGAAACUCAAAGAAAUUGACGGGGGCCCCCCCAAGCGGUGGANCAUGUGNUUNAUUCNACNCACCCGAAAANCUUACUGGCUCGAACGCUGCUGACAUCGUGNAACNCCAUUUCCCCANGGANAUAUCANGUGCUCAGGCUUCUCACNCUGUCNGAAUNUGGUUAAUCCCCACANCNCACCUUUCUNUUNGCNGCCAAGNCCACUUNAGAACCCCCNUACUGANA
rnacentral:rRNA from 1 species